GACGAACGCUGGCGGCGUGCCUAAUACAUGCAAGUAGAACGCUGAAGAGAGGAGCUCGCUCUUCUUGGAUGAGUUGCGAACGGGUGAGUAACGCGUAGGUAACCUGCCUUGUAGCGGGGGAUAACUAUUGGAAACGAUAGCUAAUACCGCAUAACAAUGGAUGACACAUGUCAUUUAUUUGAAAGGGGCAAUUGCUCCACUACAAGAUGGACCUGCGUUGUAUUAGCUAGUAGGUGAGGUAAUGGCUCACCUAGGCGACGAUACAUAGCCGACCUGAGAGGGUGAUCGGCCACACUGGGACUGAGACACGGCCCAGACUCCUACGGGAGGCAGCAGUAGGGAAUCUUCGGCAAUGGGGGCAACCCUGACCGAGCAACGCCGCGUGAGUGAAGAAGGUUUUCGGAUCGUAAAGCUCUGUUGUAAGUCAAGAACGGGUGUGAGAGUGGAAAGUUCACACUGUGACGGUAGCUUACCAGAAAGGGACGGCUAACUACGU
rnacentral:rRNA from 1 species